AUACGGAGGGUGCAAGCGUUAUUCGGAAUCACUGGGCGUAAAGGGUGCGUAGGCGGUUUGAUAAGUCUGAUGUGAAAUCCUAUGGCUCAACCAUAGAACUGCAUUGGAAACUGUCAGACUAGAAUACUGAAGGGGCAGAUGGAAUUAGUGGUGUAGGGGUAAAAUCCGUAGAUAUCACUAGGAAUACCGAAAGCGAAAGCGAUCUGCUGGGAAGUUAUUGACGCUGAGGCACGAAAGCGUGGGAGCAAACGGGAUUAGAAACCCUAGUAGUCC
rnacentral:rRNA from 1 species